rnacentral:lncRNA from 1 species
UUUAUCAAAAAUCACAAAUUUAGGGUUUAGAGUUAAAGGGUGGGAUUUAGGAUUUAGGGUUUAGGGUUUAGGAUUUAGAGUUUAGGGUUUAGGGUUUAGAGUUUAGGGUUUAGGAUUUAGGGUUUAGAGUUUAGAGUUUAGGGUUUAGGGUUUAGGGUUUAGUGUUUAGGGUUUAGAGUUGAGAAAUGAGGUUUUGGGGAUAAGAUUUCA